rnacentral:sRNA from 1 species
CUUAAUAUCUUUUCCUCAGCCUAGGACGCCCCAGCAAUAGCUCAAAAACACUGACUAUAAGAACAACAUAAAAGGGAAGCAGGAGCAUACGCGGAGGGAAGAAAUAAUACUCACUUCAGUAGCAAAAUAUCCGACCUUGCCAAACAACCGCUCAUCGUUGAAUCACUUUGUACAACUUCUAUUAAUCUCCGAGUGUGACCGAAGAGAGAGCAAUUUGCCCACCCUUCUGAUUCAAAUGUUCAACUCUCAAGAGCUUCUCAAGUGUUCGAUCAUCAAGCCCCAUGAAACACGCUCCAUCAUCUGAGUCAUCUUCAAAACUUGUUAUAAAGUGUCAAGCAAUCAUUCAACAUGUUUUCUUCCUGCUUACUUCUUGUAGCAUUACCUUCUGGACAACUGUCGGGGAAAUUAUUGCUGGUAAGAUACUCAUAAUUACGUCUGUUGUUGUCAGCUAACUUCGGUGAGGAUCAAUAUGAACCAUGGUUUUAAAGGCUACGGUUAGUUCAAUUUCUUCUUACCGUUAGUGCAUGAGUUGUUUCGAGUGUUCAAACGAAGAAAUGUGGUAACAUUCUCUAACCUUUGGGCUAUGUAUAAAUCCCACCGAUUGUCCUGGAUGUCACUGACUAGCACCUCAUCAGCGGAUGCUGGUCCACCUCAUGCCGGAGAAGAAACAAGGAAUAUUUAGUAGAGCUGGUUUGGAUAUUUCCGACCGGCGGCCGACCUUUCAUGGCGGCCAUAGCCGACGCUGCGGUUUUAAUUGCUUUGAGCCGCAUAAACUCAUCAGUGGAGUCACCGGGACAGAUAUAACAGAGCUGAAAAAUAAAUAGAUGGGAAGGGCAUAUAGACAUAUAGAGAGACAUGCAAUUUAGCCCUCAUCUGACCAUGCAUGCAUAUAUGUUGUAGAG